UCUGUUCAUGCAGCUGCAUCUGGGGAGUCUGAAGUCUGUUCGGGGGAACGAGGUGGUGUUCAUGCAGCUGCAUCUGGGGAGUCUGAAGUCUGUUCGGGGGAGCGAGGUGGUGUUCAUGCAGCUGCAUCUGGGGAGUCUGAAGUCUGUUCGGGGGAACGAGGUGGUGUUCAUGCAGCUGCAUCUGGGGAGUCUGGGGAAGUCUGUUCGGGGGAACGAGGUGGUGUUCAUGCAGCUGCAUCUGGGGAGUCUGAAGUCUGUUCGGGGGAACGAGGUGGUGUUCAUGCAGCUGCAUCUGGGGAGUCUGAAGUCUGUUCGAGGGGGAACGAGGUGGUGUUCAUGCAGCUGCAUCUGGGGAGUCUGAAGUCUGUUCGGGGGAACGAGGUGGUGUUCAUGCAGCUGCAUCUGGGGAGUCUGAAGUCUGU